rnacentral:rRNA from 1 species
AGUGAACGCUGGCGGCAGGCCUAACACAUGCAAGUCGAACGGCAGCACAGAGGAGCUUGCUCCUUGGGUGGCGAGUGGCGGACGGGUGAGGAAUACAUCGGAAUCUGCCUAUUUGUGGGGGAUAACGUAGGGAAACUUACGCUAAUACCGCAUACGACCUACGGGUGAAAGCGGAGGACCUUCGGGCUUCGCGCAGAUAGAUGAGCCGAUGUCGGAUUAGCUAGUUGGCGGGGUAAAGGCCCACCAAGGCGACGAUCCGUAGCUGGUCUGAGAGGAUGAUCAGCCACACUGGAACUGAGACACGGUCCAGACUCCUACGGGAGGCAGCAGUGGGGAAUAUUGGACAAUGGGCGCAAGCCUGAUCCAGCCAUGCCGCGUGGGUGAAGAAGGCCUUCGGGUUGUAAAGCCCUUUUGUUGGGAAAGAAAAGCAGUCGGUUAAUACCCGAUU